CUCCCAGCGCGGGCUUUGCAGCCUCCGCGCGCGUCCGCUGUGGGGAGAGUCGGCUUCCCGGAGUAGGCUGACGGGGCGCCGGUGGAGAUAAGGAUCCCCAAAGACCACCAAGGAGCCGAUUCCGCUGCAAGCUCGAGCCUGGACUCACAAACGUCCCCCACGCAGCGGGUGGAGAGCCCGACUUCCAGUUUAGCAAGGGUACCCCAAGGAAGACUGCCGCCCCUCACCCUACAUACCGAUGAAAGACCCCAGACGCUCAGCCCGAAGCCCCCCAUCGAGCCCUUUAGGAGAGACUGCUGCCCCUCACCCUACAUACCGAAGAGAGUGGGGCCGGAUACGUGCAGGCCGCUAACCAGGAAAUGAAACCACGGGCCUCUGAGUCACCGCCUGCAGACCCUAGCAUGACCUUAGUACAUGCCUUAAAACCAGGCAUUCCGGUAAAAUAGCCGACCACCACAUUCCUUCCUGUAAAACUUAGCCUUAAUACUAGGAUGAGGCAGGAUGUGAUAAAUCACUUGUCAAAACUAGGGAACAAACAGUUUCGGUGCAUAGCGGCCAACACAGGCAUGUCAGGGCAAGUACCGACACGUCAGCUCUCCCCCAACCCCACCUACCCCAUCUGGCCAGCCUAACCUGACCAAUCCUCAC